UUUUUACUCCCACCAUCCGGAAAUACUUGUCGGAGAAAAGGAUGAAUCUAGAUGUAUUUUAGACAUAGAUACAUCCAUUUGUAUCCAUCUCUCCGACAAGUAUUUUGGGACGGGGGGAGUAUUUU
rfam:Triticum aestivum genome assembly, contig: Triticum_aestivum_CS42_TGACv1_scaffold_577417_7BL